rnacentral:rRNA from 1 species
AUUGAACGCUGGCGGCAGGCCUAACACAUGCAAGUCGAGCGAGCGGAGGACGGGGGAGUAAUGUAUGGGGACUGCCCGAUAGAGGGGGAUAACUACUGGAAACGGUAGCUAAUACAGCAUACUAUCGGAUAACCCAUAUGGGAUUAGCUAGUAGGUGAGGUAAUGGCUCACCUAGGCGAAGAUCCCUAGCUGGUCUGAGAGGAUGAUCAGCACCACUGUGACUGAGACACGGCCCAGCCUCCUACGGAGGCAGCAUUGGGGAAUAUUGCACAAUGGGCGCAAGCCUGAUGCAUCCAUGCCGCGUGUAUGAAGAAUGCCCUAGGGUUGUAAAGUACUUUCAGUCGGGAGGCGUUACCGACAGAAGAAGCACCGGCUAACUCCGUGCCAGCAGCCGCGGUAAUAC